rnacentral:rRNA from 1 species
CCUACGGGUGGCAGCAGUGAGGAAUAUUGGUCAAUGGACGAGAGUCUGAACCAGCCAAGUAGCGUGAAGGAUGACUGCCCUAUGGGCUGUAAACUUCUUUUAUAUGGGAGUAAAACAGGGAAUGCAUACCCUCUUGUAUGUACCAUAUGAAUAAGAAUCGGCUAACUCCGUGCCAGCAGCCGCGGUAAUACGGAGGAUCCGAGCGUUAUCCGUGUUUAUUGGGUGUAAAGGGAGAGUAGGUGGAUUUUUAAGUCAGUUUGGAAAGUUUGCGGCUUAACCGUAAAAUUGCAGUUGAAACUGGCAGUCUUGAGUACAGUAGAGGUGGGCGGAAUUCGUGGUGUAGCGGUGAAAUGCUUAGAUAUAACGAAGAACUCCGAUUGCGAAGGCAGCUCACUGGACUGCAACUGACACUGAUGCUCGAAAGUGUGGGUAUCAAACAGGAUUAGAUACCCUUGUAGUC